rnacentral:rRNA from 1 species
AUAAUUGUCAGCUAAGUGGCGCACGGGUGAGUAAUGUAUAGAUAACCUGCCCUUAAGAAAGGAAUAACAGUUGGAAACGACUGCUAAUGCCCUAUAUGCCUUUAAUACAUAAGUAUGCAAGGGAAACGCUUUAGUGCUUAAGGAUGGGUCUGUAUGGUAUCAGCUUGUUGGUGAGGUAAUGGCUCACCAAGGCUAUGACGCCUAACUGGUUUGAGGGGAUGAUCAGUCACACUGGAACUGAGACACGGUCCAGACUCCUACGGGAGGCAGCAGUGGGGAAUAUUGCACAAUGGACGAAAGUCUGAUGCAGCAACGCCGCGUGGAGGAUGACACAUUUCGGUGCGUAAACUCCUUUUAUAUAGGAAGAUAAUGACGGUACUAUAUGAAUAAGCACCGGCUAACUCCGUGCCAGCAGCCGCGGUAAUACGGAGGGUGCAAGCGUUACUCGGAAUCACUGGGCGUAAAGAGCGUGUAGGCGGGUAUAUAAGUCAGAAGUGAAAUCCAAUAGCUCAACUAUUGAACUGCUUUUGAAACUGUAUACCUAGAAUGUGGGAGAGGUAGAUGGAAUUUCUGGUGUAGGGGUAAAAUCCGUAGAGAUCAGAAGGAAUACCGAUUGCGAAGGCGAUCUACUGGAACAUUAUUGACGCUGAGACGCGAAAGCGUGGGGAGCAAACAGGAUUAGAUACCCUGGUAGUCCACGCCCUAAACGAUGUACACUAGUUGUUGUGAGGCUCGACCUUGCAGUAAUGCAGUUAACACAUUAAGUGUACCGCCUGGGGAGUACGGUCGCAAGAUUAAAAC